rnacentral:rRNA from 1 species
UACGAAGGGAGCUAGCGUUGUUCGGAAUCACUGGGCGUAAAGCGCACGUAGGCGGAUGUGUCAGUCAGGGGUGAAAUCCUGGAGCUCAACUCCAGAACUGCCUUUGAUACUGGCGAUCUUGAGUCCGGGAGAGGUGAGUGGAACUGCGAGUGUAGAGGUGAAAUUCGUAGAUUAUUCGCAAGAACACCAGUGGCGAAGGCGGACUCACUGGCCCGGUACUGACGCUGAGGUGCGGAAAGCGUGGGGAGCAAACAGG